ACUAGUGACAGAGUGGGUGACUAGUGACAGAGAGAGGGAGGGGGUGACUAGUGACAGAGAGAGGGAGGGGGUGACUAGUGACAGAGUGAGGGAGGUGGUGAUUAGUGACAGAGGGAAGGAUGGGGUGACUAGUGACAGUCACCACCUCCUUCACUCUGUCACUGUGUCACCCCCUUCCUCACUCUGUCACUGUGUCACCCCCUUCCUCACUCUGUCACUAGUCACCCCCUCUCUCACUCUGUCACCAGGCAUUCCUUCACUCUGUCACCAGUCAUCCCUUCCUUCCCUCACUCUGCCACUAGUCAUCCCUUCCCUCACUCUG